AGUGAACGCUGGCGGUAGGCCUAACACAUGCAAGUCGAACGGCAGCACAGUAAGAGCUUGCUCUUACGGGUGGCGAGUGGCGGACGGGUGAGGAAUACAUCGGAAUCUACUUUUUCGUGGGGGAUAACGUAGGGAAACUUACGCUAAUACCGCAUACGACCUACGGGUGAAAGCAGGGGAUCUUCGGACCUUGCGCGAUUGAAUGAGCCGAUGUCGGAUUAGCUAGGUGGCGGGGUAAAGGCCCACCAAGGCGACGAUCCGUAGCUGGUCUGAGAGGAUGAUCAGCCACACUGGAACUGAGACACGGUCCAGACUCCUACGGGAGGCAGCAGUGGGGAAUAUUGGACAAUGGGCGCAAGCCUGAUCCAGCCAUACCGCGUGGGUGAAGAAGGCCUUCGGGUUGUAAAGCCCUUUUGUUGGGAAAGAAAAGCAGCAGGUUAAUACCCCGCUGUUCUGACGGUACCCAACGAAUAAGCACCGGCUAACUUCGUG
rnacentral:rRNA from 1 species